GAUGAACGCUGGCGGCGUGCCUAAUACAUGCAAGUCGAGCGAACGGACGAGAAGCUUGCUUCUCUGAUGUUAGCGGCGGACGGGUGAGUAACACGUGGAUAACCUACCUAUAAGACUGGGAUAACUUCGGGAAACCGGAGCUAAUACCGGAUAAUAUUUUGAACCGCAUGGUUCAAAAGUGAAAGACGGUCUUGCUGUCACUUAUAGAUGGAUCCGCGCUGCAUUAGCUAGUUGGUAAGGUAACGGCUUACCAAGGCAACGAUGCAUAGCCGACCUGAGAGGGUGAUCGGCCACACUGGAACUGAGACACGGUCCAGACUCCUACGGGAGGCAGCAGUAGGGAAUCUUCCGCAAUGGGCGAAAGCCUGACGGAGCAACGCCGCGUGAGUGAUGAAGGUCUUCGGAUCGUAAAACUCUGUUAUUAGGGAAGAACAUAUGUGUAAGUAACUGUGCACAUCUUGACGGUACCUAAUCAGAAAGCCACGGCUAACUACGUGCCAGCAGCCGCGGUAAUACGUAGGUGGCAAGCGUUAUCCGGAAUUAUUGGGCGUAAAGCGCGCGUAGGCGGUUUUUUAAGUCUGAUGUGAAAGCCCACGGCUCAACCGUGGAGAGUCAUUGGAAACUGGAAAACUUGAGUGCAGAAGAGGAAAGUGGAAUUCCAUGUGUAGCGGUGAAAUGCGCAGAGAUAUGGAGGAACACCAGUGGCGAAGGCGACUUUCUGGUCUGUAACUGACGCUGAUGUGCGAAAGCGUGGGGAUCAAACAGGAUUAGAUACCCUGGUAGUCCACGCCGUAAACGAUGAGUGCUAAGUGUUAGGGGGUUUCCGCCCCUUAGUGCUGCAGCUAACGCAUUAAGCACUCCGCCUGGGGAGUACGACCGCAAGGUUGAAACUCAAAGGAAUUGACGGGGACCCGCACAAGCGGUGGAGCAUGUGGUUUAAUUCGAAGCAACGCGAAGAACCUUACCAAAUCUUGACAUCCUUUGACAACUCUAGAGAUAGAGCCUUCCCCUUCGGGGGACAAAGUGACAGGUGGUGCAUGGUUGUCGUCAGCUCGUGUCGUGAGAUGUUGGGUUAAGUCCCGCAACGAGCGCAACCCUUAAGCUUAGUUGCCAUCAUUAAGUUGGGCACUCUAAGUUGACUGCCGGUGACAAACCGGAGGAAGGUGGGGAUGACGUCAAAUCAUCAUGCCCCUUAUGAUUUGGGCUACACACGUGCUACAAUGGACAAUACAAAGGGCAGCGAAACCGCGAGGUCAAGCAAAUCCCAUAAAGUUGUUCUCAGUUCGGAUUGUAGUCUGCAACUCGACUACAUGAAGCUGGAAUCGCUAGUAAUCGUAGAUCAGCAUGCUACGGUGAAUACGUUCCCGGGUCU
rnacentral:rRNA from 1 species